rnacentral:rRNA from 1 species
AUUGAAGAGUUUGAUCAUGGCUCAGAUUGAACGCUGGCGGCAGGCCUAACACAUGCAAGUCGAGCGGUAGCACAGAGAGCUUGCUCUCGGGUGACGAGCGGCGGACGGGUGAGUAAUGUCUGGGAAACUGCCUGAUGGAGGGGGAUAACUACUGGAAACGGUAGCUAAUACCGCAUAACGUCGCAAGACCAAAGUGGGGGACCUUCGGGCCUCAUGCCAUCAGAUGUGCCCAGAUGGGAUUAGCUAGUAGGUGGGGUAACGGCUCACCUAGGCGACGAUCCCUAGCUGGUCUGAGAGGAUGACCAGCCACACUGGAACUGAGACACGGUCCAGACUCCUACGGGAGGCAGCAGUGGGGAAUAUUGCACAAUGGGCGCAAGCCUGAUGCAGCCAUGCCGCGUGUGUGAAGAAGGCCUUCGGGUUGUAAAGCACUUUCAGCGGGGAGGAAGGCGGUGAGGUUAAUAACCUCAUCGAUUGACGUUACCCGCAGAAGAAGCACCGGCUAACUCCGUGCCAGCAGCCGCGGUAAUACGGAGGGUGCAAGCGUUAAUCGGAAUUACUGGGCGUAAAGCGCACGCAGGCGGUCUGUCAAGUCGGAUGUGAAAUCCCCGGGCUCAACCUGGGAACUGCAUUCGAAACUGGCAGGCUAGAGUCUUGUAGAGGGGGGUAGAAUUCCAGGUGUAGCGGUGAAAUGCGUAGAGAUCUGGAGGAAUACCGGUGGCGAAGGCGGCCCCCUGGACAAAGACUGACGCUCAGGUGCGAAAGCGUGGGGAGCAAACAGGAUUAGAUACCCUGGUAGUCCACGCUGUAAACGAUGUCGAUUUGGAGGUUGUGCCCUUGAGGCGUGGCUUCCGGAGCUAACGCGUUAAAUCGACCGCCUGGGGAGUACGGCCGCAAGGUUAAAACUCAAAUGAAUUGACGGGGGCCCGCACAAGCGGUGGAGCAUGUGGUUUAAUUCGAUGCAACGCGAAGAACCUUACCUGGUCUUGACAUCCACAGAACUUAGCAGAGAUGCUUUGGUGCCUUCGGGAACUGUGAGACAGGUGCUGCAUGGCUGUCGUCAGCUCGUGUUGUGAAAUGUUGGGUUAAGUCCCGCAACGAGCGCAACCCUUAUCCUUUGUUGCCAGCGGUCCGGCCGGGAACUCAAAGGAGACUGCCAGUGAUAAACUGGAGGAAGGUGGGGAUGACGUCAAGUCAUCAUGGCCCUUACGACCAGGGCUACACACGUGCUACAAUGGCAUAUACAAAGAGAAGCGACCUCGCGAGAGCAAGCGGACCUCAUAAAGUAUGUCGUAGUCCGGAUUGGAGUCUGCAACUCGACUCCAUGAAGUCGGAAUCGCUAGUAAUCGUAGAUCAGAAUGCUACGGUGAAUACGUUCCCGGGCCUUGUACACACCGCCCGUCACACCAUGGGAGUGGGUUGCAAAAGAAGUAGGUAGCUUAACCUUCGGGAGGGCGCUUACCACUUUGUGAUUCAUGACUGGGGUGAAGUCGUAACAAGGUAACCGUAGGGGAACCUGCGGUUGGAUCACCUCCUU